AUUGGAACCUAUUGCCAAAAUCUCUGGCUGCAUGGUCAACAUCGUCAAAAUUGAAAUGCCCAUCGAGGGAAAGCAAUCUUAAUGAAGAAGGGAUAUUGGUGCUGGAAAAGCAAAGGUUGAUUCUGACAGUUAUGCAGAGGCAAAGGCUCUGGAUGGCUAUAAGUUGGGACCCCCUUGGGGUCCAUUUUUGAAGGGCUAAGGAAGUGAAAAUGGGGAGUUGACAGCAUGGAGGAAGCACUGAAAGACUGCUCUGUUGCUUUCAGUUUAUUGUUUCUGAUGCCUUAGUUCCCAGCAGGCAGCAUCUAGACAAGCCUGAAUGAUUAAUUCUUCUUUGAUAACUAUAUAUGUGCAAAUUGGAACAAAUUGGAAUACGGGUUAUCUUUCGAUGAUAAAAUGUGAUAUUACCCUUGUU